UUACUUUGGCAGCACAGAUACUAAAAUUAGAACCAUACAGAGAUGGUUAGCAAGGCCCCUAUUCAAGGAUGACAUGCAUAUUCAUGAAGCAUUCCAUGUUUUU
ensembl:snRNA U6 U6 spliceosomal RNA